rnacentral:lncRNA from 1 species
GUCCUCCCGAGUGACGACGAAGACGACGAAGACGAAGACGACGCUGACGACGAAGACGCUGACGACUGACGACGCUCAUCCUCAGUCCUCCCGGGAGCUCAUCUCUGUCGAAUCACGACGAAGACGACGCCGACGACGAUGACUACGCCGACGACGCUGAAGAUUGACGACGUCGAAGAGUGACUUUGCUAGCCUCCUCCCGACCUCAUCUCUCUCGAAUCACGACGAAGACGACUGAAGCUGACUUCGCCGACGACGCUGACGACUGACGACGCCGAAGACUGACUUUGCUAGCCUCUUCCCGACCUCAUCUCUCUCGACUCACGACGAGGAUUGACGCUGACGACUGAAGCUGAUGCAACCGAACAACUGAAGACUGACGCCGACGACUGACGCCGAC